UCUUAUGGAUGAGCAAAGAAAGUGGUUUCUUGAGAUGGAAUCUACUCCUGGUGAAGAUGCUGUGUA
rnacentral:pre_miRNA from 1 species